GUGAUACCAGCGACAGAACUCUGCAAACAUCUCUGCUUCGCAGCUGGCAUCCUGUUGGAUUUUUCCAGUAGAGGGAAGCUUCCAUGCUGCAGGAAGAAGGGGCGUGCUCCUUCCCGUUCCUGUCAGCACUGCUGCAGCAGUUUGCUCUCACAGCUGCAUGUGAUCCCAGCUGCCAUUUCUGACCUGCUCAGAACCAGCUUCAUGAUGGGCUCAAAGACCCAGGACCAGGUGCUCUUGUGACUUCUCUGACUUCAGUCCUUCUGGAGUCAGAUCACCCAGCUUCUCUGAUGAGUGACUGGUCAUUUUUAAAGCAUGCCUGCAGCAGUCUUCAAGAGGUUUCUGCCUGGGCAUCACAAUCAGCACACAUUUGCUCAUACACAUACCAGCUCUGGCAUGUACACGUGGCCACGGUACCCUUCGUACAACACGGGAAGAGAACAACAGGACGCCCAAGAGGCAUCUGGACAGCACACAGCAAACAGAAAGGCUGAACGCCCCCCCAUGGAACCCCAUUAAAAAACAAUGUUUGUCUAUUACAAAGUCACGUUUUCCGUUUUUCCGCUUUAUAAAGUCAGCGAUGCUGGAGGGUGUCUAGCGGAAUCCGUCCUCCAGGAAUGAGUGCAAAAGGAGAGCGCACGGCUCAGGGACGUCCCUUCAGUGAGCAAUGGAAGGACUGGCUGGAGGCCUCCCAUCCAUUUCGGACAAACACACACAUACAGAAAAGGAUUAUUGCCAGCUUGUGU
rnacentral:lncRNA from 1 species